GCUCAGAACGAACGCUGGCGGCAUGCCUAACACAUGCAAGUCGAACGAGAUCUUCGGAUCUAGUGGCGCACGGGUGCGUAACGCGUGGGAAUCUGCCCUUGGGUACGGAGUAACUCAGAGAAAUUUGUGCUAAUACCGUAUAAUGUCUUCGGACCAAAGAUUUAUCGCCCAAGGAUGAGCCCGCGUAGGAUUAGCUAGUUGGUGAGGUAAAAGCUCACCAAGGCGACGAUCCUUAGCUGGUCUGAGAGGAUGAUCAGCCACACUGGGACUGAGACACGGCCCAGACUCCUACGGGAGGCAGCAGUGGGGAAUAUUGGACAAUGGGCGAAAGCCUGAUCCAGCAAUGCCGC
rnacentral:rRNA from 1 species